UAGCCGUAAACGAUACUCGCUAGGUGUCGGCCACGGUGCGACCGUUGUCGGUGCCGUAGGGAAGCCGUGAAGCGAGCCACCUGGGAAGUACGGCCGCAAGGCUGAAACUUAAAGGAAUUGGCGGGGGAGCACAACAACGGGUGGAGCUUGCGGUUUAAUUGGACUCAACGCCGGGAAGCUCACCGGAUAAGACAGCGGAAUGAUAGUCGGGAUGAAGACUCUACUUGACUAGCUGAGAGGUGGUGCAUGGCGUAGUCGUGU
rnacentral:rRNA from 1 species